UACGUAGGGUGCGAGCGUUGUCCGGAAUUAUUUGGCGUAAAGGGCUCGUAGGCGGUCUGUCACGUCGGGAGUGAAAACUCAGGGCUUAACCCUGAGCCUGCUUCCGAUACGGGCAGACUAGAGGUAUGCAGGGGAGAACGGAAUUCCUGGUGUAGCGGUGAAAUGCGCAGAUAUCAGGAGGAACACCGGUGGCGAAGGCGGUUCUCUGGGCAUUACCUGACGCUGAGGAGCGAAAGUGUGGGGAGCGAACAGG
rnacentral:rRNA from 1 species